UACAGAGGUCCCAAGCGUUGUUCGGAUUCACUGGGCGUAAAGGGUGCGUAGGCGGUCGGGUAAGUCUGAUGUGAAAUCUCACAGCUUAACCGUGAAACUGCAUUGGAUACUAUUCGGCUUGAGAGUUGGAGGGGGGACUGGAAUUCUUGGUGUAGCAGUGAAAUGCGUAGAUAUUAAGAGGAACACCAGUGGCGAAGGCGAGUCCCUGGACAGCUUCUGACGCUGAGGCACGAAAGCUAGGGGAGCAAACAGG
rnacentral:rRNA from 1 species